rnacentral:tRNA from 1 species
GCCCCCAUCGUCUAGAGGCCAAGGACGCUGCGUUCUCAGCGCAUAAACACCGGUUCGACUCCGGUUGGGGGCGCCA